UGGCGGACGGGUGAGUAACGCGUGGGCAACCUACCCCACACAGGGGGACAACAGUUGGAAACGACUGCUAAUACCGCAUAGGCGCACAGCUUCGCAUGAAGCAGUGUGGAAAACCGAGGUGGUGUGGGAUGGGCCCGCGUCUGAUUAGCUAGUUGGCGGGGUAACGGCCCACCAAGGCGACGAUCAGUAGCCGGCCUGAGAGGGUGGACGGCCACAUUGGGACUGAGACACGGCCCAAACUCCUACGGAAGGCAGCAG
rnacentral:rRNA from 1 species